CUACGGAGGGUGCGAGCGUUAAUCGGAAUUACUGGGCGUAAAGCGCGCGUAGGCGGCUUUGUAAGUCGGAUGUGAAAGCCCCGGGCUUAACCUGGGAAUGGCAUUCGAUACUGCAGAGCUAGAGUAUGGUAGAGGGAAGUGGAAUUUCCGGUGUAGCGGUGAAAUGCGUAGAUAUCGGAAGGAACACCAGUGGCGAAGGCGACUUCCUGGGCCAAUACUGACGCUGAGGUGCGAAAGCGUGGGGAGCAAACAGGAUUAGAAACCCCGGUAGUCC
rnacentral:rRNA from 1 species